GACAGAGGGUGCAAACGUUGUUCGGAAUUACUGGGCGUAAAGCGUGUGUAGGCGGCGGUCAAAGUCGGAUGUGAAAGCCCUGGGCUCACCCCAGGAAGUGCAUUCGAUACUCGGCUGCUUGAGUAUCGGAGAGGUUGGUGGAAUUCUCGGUGUAGAGGUGAAAUUCGUAGAUAUCGAGAGGAACACCUGUGGCGAAGGCGGCCAACUGGACGAAUACUGACGCUGAAAUACGAAAGCGUGGGUAG
rnacentral:rRNA from 1 species